rnacentral:rRNA from 1 species
UACGAAGGGGCUAGCGUUGCUCGGAAUCACUGGGCGUAAAGGGUGCGUAGGCGGGUCUUUAAGUCAGAGGUGAAAGCCUGGAGCUCAACUCCAGAACUGCCUUUGAUACUGAGGAUCUCGAGUUCGGGAGAGGUGAGUGGAACUGCGAGUGUAGAGGUGAAAUUCGUAGAUAUUCGGCAAGAACACCAGUGGCGAAGGCGGCUCACUGGCCCGAUACUGACGCUGAGGC